rnacentral:rRNA from 1 species
GUCUGCAUGGAGCCGGCCUUGAAAUACCACCCUUUAAUGUUUGAUGUUCUAACGUUGGCCCCUGAUCGGGGUUGCGGACAGUGUCUGGUGGGUAGUUUGACUGGGGCGGUCUCCUCCUAAAGAGUAACGGAGGAGCACGAAGGUUGGCUAAUCCUGGUCGGACAUCAGGAGGUUAGUGCAAUGGCAUAAGCCAGCUUGACUGCGAGCGUGACGGCGCGAGCAGGUGCGAAAGCAGGUCAUAGUGAUCCGGUGGUUCUGAAUGGAAGGGCCAUCGCUCAACGGAUAAAAGGUACUCCGGGGAUAACAGGCUGAUACCGCCCAAGAGUUCAUAUCGACGGCGGUGUUUGGCACCUCGAUGUCGGCUCAUCACAUCCUGGGGCUGAAGUAGGUCCCAAGGG